rnacentral:rRNA from 1 species
UACGUAGGGCGCAAGCGUUGUCCGGAUUUAUUGGGCGUAAAGAGCGUGUAGGCGGCCUGGUAGGUCAGUUGUGAAAACUCGAGGCUCAACCUCGAGACGCCGAUUGAAACCACCAGGCUAGAGUCCGGAAGAGGAGAGUGGAAUUCCCGGUGUAGCGGUGAAAUGCGCAGAUAUCGGGAAGAACACCCGUGGCUAAGGCGGCUCUCUAGUACGGUACUGACGCUGAGACGCGAAAGCGUGGGGAGCGAACAGG